GAGCGGCGAACGGGUGAGUAACGCGUGGGUAAUCUACCUUCGAGUGGGGAAUAACAUCGGGAAACUGGUGCUAAUACCGCAUAACAUCCUCGGGCCUUCGGGUCUGGGGAUCAAAGCCGGGGACCGCAAGGCCUGGCGCUUGAAGAGGAGCCCGCGUCCGAUUAGCUAGUUGGCGGGGUAACGGCCCACCAAGGCUACGAUCGGUAGCCGGCCUGAGAGGGCGGACGGCCACACUGGGACUGAGACACGGCCCAGACUCCUACGGGAGGCAGCAGUGGGGAAUUUUUCGCAAUGGGGGAAACCCUGACGAAGCAACGCCGCGUGGAGGAUGAAGGCCUUCGGGUCGUAAACUCCUGUCGACCGGGAAGAAAACUAUCUGACCCAAUACGUUAGGUAGUCGACUGUACCGGUGGAGGAAGCCACGGCUAACUCUGUGCCAGCAGCCGCGGUAAUACAGAGGUGGCAAGCGUUGUUCGGAAUUACUGGGCGUAAAGGGCGCGUAGGCGGUCUUGUAAGUCUUGUGUGAAAUCCCUCGGCUUAACUGAGGAACUGCACAGGAUACUGCGAGACUUGAAUUCGGGAGAGGGAAGCGGAAUUCCGGGUGUAGCGGUGAAAUGCGUAGAUAUCCGGAGGAACACCGGUGGCGAAGGCGGCUUCCUGGACCGUUAU
rnacentral:rRNA from 1 species